rnacentral:pre_miRNA from 1 species
AAUAGUGAUAGGGCUACUCUCUAUUGGCAUGCAGUUAAUUAUAUGUAUUUCAGCUGACACGCCAAAGGAGAGCUGCCCUGUUACUGUCUC